rnacentral:hammerhead_ribozyme from 1 species
AUCCAGUUGACGAGUCCCAUAUAGGAUGAAACGUGCGUCUAAUUGAAU